rnacentral:rRNA from 1 species
UACGUAGGUGGCAAGCGUUGUCCGGAUUUACUGGGCGUAAAGAGCGCGCAGGCGGUCGUCCAAGUCGCGUGUGAAAGCCCCCGGCUCAACUGGGGAGGGUCACGCGAUACUGGUCGACUCGAAGCAGGAGAGGGUAGUGGAAUUCCCGGGUGUAGUGGUGAAAUUCGUAGAUAUCGGGGAGGAACACCUGUGGCGAAGGCGGCCAUCUGGACGAUAACUGACGCUGAGACGCGAAAGCGUGGGUAGCAAACAGG